rnacentral:rRNA from 1 species
UACGUAGGGUGCAAGCGUUAAUCGGAAUUACUGGGCGUAAAGCGUGCGCAGGCGGUUUUGUAAGUCUGUCGUGAAAGCCCCGGGCUCAACCUGGGAAUUGCGAUGGAGACUGCAAGGCUAGAAUCUGGCAGAGGGGGGUAGAAUUCCACGUGUAGCAGUGAAAUGCGUAGAGAUGUGGAGGAACACCGAUGGCGAAGGCAGCCCCCUGGGUCAAGAUUGACGCUCAUGCGCGAAAGCGUGGGGAGCAAACAGG